rnacentral:rRNA from 1 species
GACGUAGGGCGCGAGCGUUGUCCGGAUUUAUUGGGCGUAAAGAGCUCGUAGGCGGCUUGUUGCGUCGACUGUGAAAACCUGCGGCUCAACCGUGUGGUCUGCAGUCGAUACGGGCAGGCUGGAGUUCGGUAGGGGAGACUGGAAUUCCUGGUGUAGCGGUGAAAUGCGCAGAUAUCAGGAAGAACACCCGUGGCGAAAGCGGCUCUCUGGAACGGUACUGACGCUGAGACGCGAAAGCGUGGGGAGCGAACAGG